GGAUAGCUGGUGUGGCCUGCUUUCACAAGAGGCGUCUCCCUGGAAGGGGAGGGCCAGUUCAGGUCCCCUUGAGUGGCUGGGCCAUAUUGUCAGCAGGCUCACCUCUAGAUUGCAGCAGGCAGCCUGGGAUGCCCACGCCUGCCAAGGAGGAGAUGACCUCAAGACAAGCAGCUUCCAUGCAAUACUGCAGCAAGGGCUUACUUUCCUGAGCAUUUCCCACGCUCCAAUCACUGCUCUAAUUCCUUUAGAUGUGUUAACUCACUUCCUGCUCACAAUACUUCUAUGAGGUACAGAGAAGGUAUCAUCUGUGAAGAACAGGACCUCAUCAGACACUAGAUCUGCUGGCACCUUGAUCUUGGAUUUCCCAGCCUCCAGAAUUGUGAGCAAUGAAUUUCUGUUGUUUAUAAAUUACCCCGUCUAAAGUAUUUUGUUAUAGCAACAGGAAUGAACUUAGAUACCACUAUACACACUCUGCUUGCACUGAUGGUGCUUUGGAGGUUGAAGGAAUUGGGUGUUCGAUAUGUGCUGAAGAGUUAAGGGAAAAGGGCAGUUGUUGCAUGUUACUGGAAUUGAAAAGUAGAAAAGCGAACAUUUAUGUGACUAAGAAAAAUGGAAAUCCCUUAGCCCUGAAGAUCUUCAGUGAUAUUAGGAAGAUUCUCUCUUUCCCAUCACAUAUGGAUUUAGGGUUAAAGUCACUCCACUUAAAUAUUAUGGCAACAGAGAGGCGCUCAGGACCUGGAGACCUCCAAGCUGCUGCUGACUUUUGAGUUUCACAACGUUGAGAAGACAUAUUGAGCAUCCACCAUCGGCCAGGCAGAUCAAAGAAUGGAUCUGGGAGGGAAGUAGUGAGUGGAUGAAGAGAAACACAAAAAAGCUGAAAAUGCCAGACACAUCCCGAUCUCCCUUGCACCAAGCAGAGCCGUGGCCUGGGCUCAGCCAAUCAGACUCAUCGCUCCUGAGCUGAAUUACAAGCGAAUGAAGUGGAGAAGGAGGGACCCUGCAGGAUCCAUUCUAGCAAGGGCGUUGGCAGCCACAGCAGCCACAACAGUUUCCCCGAGGCGGCAGAUCUGGUGGCUGCAUCUGAAUGGAACAGCAGAGGGCUGGCAUUGUAAACUAUGAGCUGCAGGUCCACAGCAGCAACAGCGGAGUCUGCACAGGGCCGGUUCUGAGCCUGCUUUCCAACAUCAUCCCAGCUGUAUGGCCUCCAAGGCUGGUUUUAGGCUCUCUCAUAUACUCUGUGUGCUAUCCAAUAUCCUACAAUAAAUUCCUUUCUGGUGUAAAUCAGGAAAAAUUAGUUUGUUGCUUGCAAACUAAGCACCCUGGCUGUUAUAUGCACAACUUCUGGAAGGGCACACAGACACAAUCCAUUACUAAAAUGACUAGUCUUAUUGAAAGCUUUCUA
rnacentral:lncRNA from 1 species